CCGAGAAUAUUGGACAAUGGGCGAAAGCCUGAUCCAGCGACAUUGCGUGGAGGAUGAAGACGUUCGCGCCGUAAACUCCUUUUAUAGGGAAAGAAGUAAUUGACGGUACCCUAUGAAUAAGCGGGGGCUAAUUCUGUGCCAGCAGCAGCGGUAAUACAGAACCCGCAAGCGUUAUCCGGAUUUAUUGGGCGUAAAGUGUUCGUAGGCGGUUUGGAAAGUCUGAUAUCAAAUAUCCGGGCUCAACCCGGGACGCGUAUCGGAAACUUCCAAACUUGAAGGUGCUAGGGGCUAUCGGAACGCACGGUGUAGGGGUGAAAUCCGUUGAUAUCGUGCGGAACACCAAAAGCGAAGGCAGAUAGCUGGGGCAUUCUUGACGCUGAGGAACGAAAGCGUGGGGAGC
rnacentral:rRNA from 1 species